CUUAGAGGUAAACGAGUGGAGCCGAAGGUGUUGUUUAGAAUUCAGUUGAUUGCAUUUUGCACGUAGAUUAGCAACAUUUUUAUGGGAGUUGUUGAUUUACCUUUUUGCAGAGUGUAAUUGAUGCAUUUUCUAUUCAACUAUACUGCGACCAAUAGUGUUGGUUUUCUGUCGUAAUUGUGAAGGUGAUCAAUUUUUCGAAAUUGGUUUUAUAGCUAAUUACAUGGUUAACUAAUGUAUUGUUAAACGCGAUUUUCUUAUUUUGAUUAAUAUUGAUUUGGAAUAUUUAGUUUUAGACUAUAAAUAGACUAUUUUUAAAUAUUUUAUGUCUUUGGUAAUUAAAGGGUUAAUCUAAAGUCUGCAGUCAUUAUGUAGGUUACCUACUUGUCCCGUCUUGAAACACGGACCAAGGAGUUUUAUAUGAUCGCGAGUCAAAGGGCUUUACGAAACCCCAGGGCGUAAUUAAUGUAAAGAUUCACUUUAGUGAAUUGAAAUGUGACCUAGCCGUAAAAAGCUUGAGCAACAUUGACCCGUCUAAAGAUGUUCGCAUCUGGGCGGAGUUUGAGCGAUCAUGUAGAGACCCGAAAGAUGGUGAACUAUGCUUGUGCAGGUUGAAGUCAGAGGAAACCCUGAUGGAGGACCGCCGCGGUUCUGACGUGCAAAUCGAUCGUCGGACAUGAGUAUAGGGGCGAAAGACUAAUCGAACCAUCUAGUAGCUGGUUCCCUCCGAAGUUUCCCUCAGGAUAGCUGGCAUUUGUUGUCGUAGUUUUACCUGGUAAAGCGAAUGAUUAGAAGUAUUGGGGACGAAAUGUCUUCAACUUAUUCUCAAACUUUAAAUGGGUUCGAAGUGCAUCUCUCUUUAUUUGGAGAUGUACAUUGAAUACGAAUGCCUAGUGGGCCAUUUUUGGUAAGCAGAACUGGCGAUGUGGGAUGAACCAAACAUUUGGUUAAGGUGCCUAACAUCACGCUCAUGAGAACCCACAAAAGGUGUUGGUUGAUAAAGACAGCAGGACGGUGGACAUGGAAGUCGUCAUCCGCUAAGGAGUGUGUAACAACUCACCUGCCGAAUCAACCAGCCCUGAAA
rnacentral:rRNA from 1 species